UGUCAAGCGGGGAAAAGAAACCAACAGGGAUUGCCCCGUAACGGCGAGUGAAGCGGCAACAGCUCAAAUUUGAAACUGGCUGGCCCGAGGUUGUAAUUUGCAGAGGGAAGUUUCUGGCAAAGGUGCCUCCCGAGUCCACUUGGAACGUGGGCGCCCGAGAGGGUGAGAGCCCCGUAUCGUUGGACACGGGCGCAAGUGUGGUCAAAAACCCCUUCGACGAGUCACGAGUAGUUUGGGAAUUCUGCUCUAAAUGGGAGGUAAAUUCUUUCUAAAGCUAAAUACUGGCCCGAGACCGAUAGCGCACAAGUAUAGUGAUCGAAAGGAUGAAAAGCACCUUUUAAAAAGAGAGUCAAACAGCACGUGAAACUUGUUGAAAGGGAAGGAUUUGUAACCAGACUUGCGCCGGCCGGAUCUCCCGGUGUUUCGCUCCGGUGUUCUUAGAGGGUUCAGGCCAGGAUCGGUUUUCUGGGCAAAUUACAACUCGGGGGGAAAGGUACCUCCUCCGAGCUGUUAUAGCCCGCCCCGCCGGGAGCAUAAAGCCCGCGUUUUCGAUGCUGGCCCGUCAAACCGGACCAAAAAAGGGGGAG
rnacentral:rRNA from 1 species